AUGAACCUCAACAGGCAACAGCAAGCCAUCUCAAGGGAGGGGAUUCUCAAGUCACCCCACUUCCAAUCCAUCGAUGCCAUCCACAAGGACCAAGAUGACGAUGACCAGGAAGGAAGGAGCCCACGCCCGACCCCUACGACGAUGGUUCUGUUUGUGCGCCAGCGACGACCACAACCUCCCUCUCCGAUAAAGCCGAGGACAAUUAGAGAGUUCCAUGUCAUUUAUCCAAAUGAAGAUGAUAAUGAGAAAUUCCAACAUUAUGCUUUCCCGUUGAAUAUAGCCAAAGAAGCAAAUUCUAGCAGAGAAGCAAAUUUUGUAGAUUGA
rnacentral:rRNA from 1 species